rnacentral:rRNA from 1 species
GACGUAGGGCGCGAGCGUUGUCCGGAUUUAUUGGGCGUAAAGAGCUCGUAGGCGGCUCGUUGCGUCGGCUGUGAAAACCCGCAGCUCAACUGUGGGCUUGCAGCUGAUACGGGCGGGCUGGGAUUCGGUAGGGGAGACUGGAAUUCCUGGUGUAGCGGUGAAAUGCGCAGAUAUCAGGAGGAACACCGGUGGCGAAGGCGGGUCUCUGGGCCGAGACUGACGCUGAGGCGCGAAAGCGUGGGGAGCAAACAGG